rnacentral:rRNA from 1 species
AACGAACGCUGGCGGCGUGGAUAAGACAUGCAAGUCGAACGGGACUAAAUCUGUAGCAAUACAGGUUUAGUUUAGUGGCGAACGGGUGCGUAACACGUGGGCAAUCUGCCGAGAAGUGGGGGAUAGCUCGCCGAAAGGCGAAUUAAUACCGCAUAUGAUCAGCUAAGACAUCUUAGCGACAUCAAAGCCGGGGUAACCUGGCGCUUCUUGAUGAGCCCGACGGCCAUCAGCUAGUUGGUGAGGUAACGGCUCACCAAGGCUAUGACGGGUAGCUGGUCUGGAGAGGACGACCAGGUCACACUGGGAACUGAGACACGGUCCAGACGCCUACGGGUGCAGCAGUCGAGAAUUUUGGGCAAUGGGACGAAAGCCUGACCCAGCAACGCCGCGUGAAGGAUGAAG